GGUGAUGGCGUGCCUUUUGGAGAAUGAUCCUGCGAGUUACGUUAAACGGCGAGGUUAAGUAUAACGGAGCCGAAGGGAAACCAAGUCUUAAUAGGGCGAUUUAGUCGUUUGGCGUAGACGCGAAACCUGGUGAUCUAAACCUGUCCAGGAUGAAGCUGUGGUAAGACACAGUGGAGGUCCUAACCCACCGCCGUUGAAAAGUUGGGGGAUGAGGUAGGUUUAGGGGUGAAAAGCCAAUCGAACCAGGAGAUAGCUCGUUCUCUCCGAAAUGCAUCUAGGUGCAGCCUUGAGUGUUCAAUUAUGGGGGUAGAGCACUGAAUGAUCUAGGGGGCGUAUUGCUUACUGAAAUCAAUCAAACUCCGAAUACCAUAAUUUAGAGCUCAGGAGUGAGACUAUGGGAGUUAACUUCCAUUGUCGAAAGGGAAACAACCCAGACCACCAGCUAAGGUCCCUAAUUAUAACUAAGUGGGAAAGGAGGUGGAGAUUCACAAACAACUAGGAGGUUGGCUUAGAAGCAGCCAUACCUUUAAAGAGUGCGUAAUAGCUCACUAGUCGAGAGUCUCUGCGCCGACAAUGUAACGGGGCUAAGUUAUAAACCGAAGCUGUGGAAUCCGUAAGGAUUGGUAGGAGAGCGUUCUGUAGGCCGUUGAAGGAGAAGGGUAACCGACUCUGGAGGUAUCAGAAGUGAGAAUGCAGGAAUAAGUAGCGAGAAAGGGGGCGAGAAUCCCCCUCGCCGGAAGACCAAGGUUUUCAGGGUAAAGCUUGUCUUCCCUGAGUAAGCCGAAACCGACACAGGUGGUCAGGAUGAGAAAUCUAAGGCGGACAGGCUAACUCUCGUUAAGGAACUCUGCAAAAUAACCUCGUAACUUCGGGAGAAGAGGAGCCCUUGAGGGUCAGUAUCCACGCGAUACAAAGCACUCGAGGGUCGCAGUGAAGAGGCUCAAGCAACUGUUUAACAAAAACACAGGUCUAUGCUAAGCUGGAAGGCGAUGUAUAUGGGCUGACACCUGCCCAGUGCUGGAAGGUUAAGAGGAGGAGUGAGAGCUCCGAAUUGAAGCCCCAGUGAACGGCGGCCGUAACUAUAACGGUCCUAAGGUAGCGAAAUUCCUUGUCGGGUAAGUUCCGACCUGCACGAAUGGUGUAAUGAUUUGAGCGCUGUCUUGACGGGAGGCCUGGUGAAAUUGUAUUACCGGUGAAGAUACCGGUUACCUACAGUAGGACGGAAAGACCCCAUGGAGCUUUACUGUAGCUUGGUAUUGGGUUUUGGCAUUGCAUGUAUAGGAUAGUUGGGAGACUGAGAUGAUAUGGCGCUAGCUGUAUCGGAGUCAUCGGUGGAAUACCAACCAUUCAAUGCUGAAAUUCUAAUCUGUGGUUUGUAGCCACGGAGACAGUGCUAGGUGGGCAGUUUGACUGGGGCGGUCGCCUCCGAAAGAGUAACGGAGGCGUUCAAAGGUUCUCUCAGGUUGGAUGGAAAUCAACCAUAGAGUGCAAUGGCAUAAGAGAGCUUGACUGCAAGACUGACGGGUCGAGCAGAUGCGAAAGCAGGACAUAGUGAUCCGGCGAUUCCGAAUGGAAGGGUCGUCGCUCAACGGAUAAAAGCUACCCUGGGGAUAACAGGCUGAUCCUACCCGAGAGUCCAUAUCGACGGUAGGGUUUGGCACCUCGAUGUCGGCUCAUCGCAUCCUGGGGCUGGAGAAGGUCCCAAGGGUUGGGCUGUUCGCCCAUUAAAGCGGUACGUGAGCUGGGUUCAGAACGUCGUGAGACAGUUCGGUCCCUAUCCACUGUAGGCGUUAGAAUAUUGAGAAGACCUGUCCUUAGUACGAGAGGACCGGGAUGGACAAACCUCUGAUGUACCAGUUGUCACGCCAGUGGCACAGCUGGGUAGUCACGUUUGGAAUAGA
rnacentral:rRNA from 1 species